GAUGAACGCUGGCGGCGUGCCUAAUACAUGCAAGUCGAGCGAACAGACGAUGCUCUUGCUCCUCUCACGUUAGCGGCGGACGGGUGAGUAACACGUGGAUUACCUACCUAUAAGACUUGAAUAACUUCGGGAAACCGGAGCUAAUACCGGAUAAUAUAUUUAACCGCAUGGUUCAAUAGUUAAAGACGGUUUUGCUGUGCCUUAUAGAUGUCUGCGCGCCGCAUGAGCGAGUUGGUAAGGUAACGGCUUACCAAGGCAGCGAUGCGUAGCCGACCGGAGAGGGUGUUGCGCGCCACUGGGGGUGGGACGCGGUCCAGACUCCUAGGGGAGGCACCAGUAGGGAAGCUUCCGAGCUGGGCGAAAGCCUGACGGAGCGGCGCCGCGUGGGUGCUGAAGGUCUUCGUAUCGUAAAACUCUGUUAUUGGGGAAGACCACAUGUGUAAGUAACUAUGCACUUCGUGACGGUACCUAAACAGAAAGCCACGGCUAACUACGUG
rnacentral:rRNA from 1 species